rnacentral:rRNA from 1 species
GAUGAACGCUAGCGGCAGGCUUAAUACAUGCAAGUCGAGGGGCAGCAGGACUGUAGCAAUACAGUUGCUGGCGACCGGCAAACGGGUGCGGAACACGUACGCAACCUUCCUUUAAGUGGGGAAUAGCCCAGGGAAACUUGGAUUAAUACCUCGUAACAUUAUGAAAUGGCAUCAUUUUAUAAUUAUAGCUCCGGCGCUUAAAGAUGGGCGUGCGACUGAUUAGGUAGUUGGCGGGGUAACGGCCCACCAAGCCUUCGAUCAGUAACUGGUGUGAGAGCACGACCAGUAACACGGGGACUGAGACACGGGCCCGACUCCUACGGGAGGCAGCAGUAAGGAAUAUUGGCCAAUGGACGCAAGUCUGAACCAGCCAUGCCGCGUGGAGGAUGAAGGUCCUCUGGAUUGUAAACUUCUUUUAUCUGGGAAGAAACCCAUAUUUUCUAGUGUGGUUGACGGUACCAGAUGAAUAAGCACCGGCUAACUCCGUGCCAGCCGCCGCGGUAAUAC